rnacentral:rRNA from 1 species
UGGGGAAUAUUGCACAAUGGAGGGAACUCUGAUGCAGCGACGCCGCGUGAACGAAGAAGGCUUUCGAGUCGUAAAGUUCUUUUAUAUGGGAAGAUAAUGACGGUACCAUAAGAAAAAGCCCCGGCUAACUACGUGCCAGCAGCCGCGGUAAUACGUAGGGGGCUAGCGUUGUCCGGAAUCACUGGGCGUAAAGGGUUCGCAGGCGGAAAUGCAAGUCAGGUGUAAAAGGCAGUAGCUUAACUACUGUAAGCAUUUGAAACUGCAUAUCUUGAGAAGAGUAGAGGUAAGUGGUAUUUUUAGUGUAGCGGUGAAAUGCGUAGAUAUUAAAAAGAAUACCGGUGGCGAAGGCGACUUACUGGGCUCAUUCUGACGCUGAGGAACGAAAGCGUGGGUAGCAAACAGG